UCUCUGAAUGAUGGUGGGUAUGGAAAUGU
rnacentral:piRNA from 1 species